rnacentral:rRNA from 1 species
GAAUGCUGACAUAAGUAACGAUAAAGCGGGUGAAAAGCCCGCUCGCCGGAAGACCAAGGGUUCCUGUCCAACGUUAAUCGGGGCAGGGUGAGUCGACCCCUAAGGCGAGGCCGAAAGGCGUAGUCGAUGGGAAACGGGUUAAUAUUCCCGUACUUGGUGUUACUGCGAAGGGGGGACGGAGAAGGCUAUGUUGGCCGGGCGACGGUUGUCCCGGUUUAAGCGUGUAGGUGUGUGUUCCAGGUAAAUCCGGUUCACUUUAACACUGAGGCGUGACGACGAGGCACUACGGUGCUGAAGCAACAAAUGCCCUGCUUCCAGGAAAAGCCUCUAAGCAUCAGGUAACAUCAAAUCGUACCCCAAACCGACACAGGUGGUCAGGUAG